AGGGUUCGAUUAUGGCUCAGAACGUACGCUGGCGGCACGCCUAACACAUGCAAGUCGAACGAAGUAGCAAUACUUAGUGGCAGACGGGUGAGUAACAUGUAGGUAUCUGCCCUUUGGCCUGGAAUAACACGAGGAAACUUGUGCUAAUACCGGAUAAGUCUUUACGGAGAAAGCUUUAUGCACCAUUGGAUGAGCCUGCACUUGAUUAGUUUGUUGGUGGGGUAAUGGCCUACCAAGACUGUGAUCAAUAGCUGAUUUGAGAGGAUGAUCAGCCACAUUGGGACUGAGACACGGCCCAAACUCCUACGGGAGGCAGCAGUGGGGAAUCUUGCACAAUGGAGGAAACUCUGAUGCAGCGAUGCCGCGUGAGUGAAGAAGGCCUUUGGGUUGUAAAGCUCUUUCGUCGGGGAAGAAAAUGACUGUACCCGAAUAAGAAGGUCCGGCUAACUUCGUGCCAGCAGCCGCGGUAAUACGAAGGGACCUAGCGUAGUUCGGAAUUACUGGGCUUAAAGAGUUCGUAGGUGGUUGAAAAAGUUGGUGGUGAAAUCCCAGAGCUUAACUCUGGAACUGCCAUCAAAACUUUUCAGCUAGAGUAUGAUAGAGGAAAGCAGAAUUUCUAGUGUAGAGGUGAAAUUCGUAGAUAUUAGAAAGAAUACCAAUUGCGAAGGCAGCUUUCUGGAUCAUUACUGACACUGAGGAACGAAAGCAUGGGUAGCGAAGAGGAUUAGAUACCCUCGUAGUCCAUGCCGUAAACGAUGUGUGUUAGACGUUGGAAAUUUAUUUUCAGUGUCGCAGCGAAAGCGAUAAACACACCGCCUGGGGAGUACGACCGCAAGGUUAAAACUCAAAUGAAUUGACGGGGACCCGCACAAGUAGUGGAGCAUGUGGUUUAAUUCGAAGAUACGCGCAGAACCUUACCAACACUUGACAUGUUCGUCGCGACUUUAAGAGAUUAAAGUUUUCGGUUCGGCCGGACGAAACACAGGUGCUGCAUGGCUGUCGUCAGCUCGUGUCGUGAGAUGUUGGGUUAAGUCCCGCAACGAGCGCAACCCUCACUUUUAGUUGCCAUCAUUUAGUUGGGCACUCUGAAAGAACUGCCAGUGAUAAGCUGGAGGAAGGUGGGGAUGACGUCAAGUCCUCAUGGCCCUUACGUGUUGGGCUACACACGUGCUACAAUGGUAUCUACAACAGGAAGCAAAACGGCGACGUUAAGCAAAUCCUUAAAAGAUACCUCAGUUCGGAUUGCACUCUGCAACUCGAGUGCAUGAAGCUGGAAUUACUAGUAAUCGUGGAUCAGCGUGCCACGGUGAAUGCGUUCCCGGGUCUUGUACACACCGCCCGUCACACCAUGGGAGUUGGUUCUACCUUAAGGCAAGGUUUAAAACCCUUGACCACGGUAUAGUCAGCGACUGGGGUGAAGUCGUAACAAGGUAACC
rnacentral:rRNA from 1 species